rnacentral:rRNA from 1 species
UACAGAGGUGGCAAGCGUUGUUCGGAAUUACUGGGCGUAAAGGGCGCGUAGGCGGCCCUCUAAGUCCGACGUGAAAUCCCCCGGCUUAACCUGGGAACUGCGUCUGAUACUGGGAGGCUUGAGUAUGGGAGAGGGAUGUAGAAUUCCAGGUGUAGCGGUGAAAUGCGUAGAUAUCUGGAGGAAUACCGGUGGCGAAGGCGGCAUCCUGGACCAUAACUGACGCUGAGGCGCGAAAGCUAGGGGAGCAAACGGG